CUACGAUGUUGGCACUCUUCUGUAUCGCUCUGAUUUUACCGGCUGCUCUCACCAGACCAGAAAAUGGGGUACCCACGUCCCCCGCCUCGCGGGAUGGAUUUUGCCCUGAAUGUAGUAGAUGUGGACUUCGACCACCACCCAAUAUCAUUCUUAUCCAAAAUGAAGAUAUUCCACGAGGGAUUGUACACACUCUUCCUUUGACAACUGCAGACAUAAUAAGGAAUAUACUACUUGAACCAAGAAUCGGCAGUCGCGACGCAGGUGCUGAAAAAGCAGAGGAAAAUCCUAAAGUGCAGGCCAGAGGCGGGUGGGGCCCCCUACUUGGUCCACCAAUCAGCCCCAAGAUCCAUCUUUGGGGCUGAUUCCAGCUGAAAAACAAUUGAAAGUAAAAUAAAUAUUGCAGCAGUA